UCAUAACAUUUAUGUGUUAUAGGUCUAGAUUGUGCUUCGUUGUUUAUACGGAAAAUAGAAUAGGGUGUUGGAUUAAAUAGACCCUUUUAGUUAGAGGGGCAUGAAACAAUAUGAUCAUUGUGACUGCAUGCUCCAACUAAUUAAGUGGUGGAUGUGAUACGAGCGUUUUCGUCAUUACCAUCUUGUCGACUUUUGUAAAAAUAUCAGCUGCCUGUGGAGUCUUCCUCUUUCGAGACUGUUAUUUGUAUCUGUAGAUCAGUUGAAUUUCCCACUGACCAGUUGUUUGAGGAAAUCUUAAGAGUAUUGAAGCCUGGUGGGACAAUCCUAGUUCAUAAGAAUCCUAAGUCUACUGUUGGAGAAACAGAUAAGAUAACCUCUGCUCUUGAGCGCAAGUUACUGUUGGCGGGUUUCCUAGAAGUGGUAGUUCUCAAAUCAACGGUUCCAUCAGAAGGUCAGUCUUUUGGGGUAAGUUUCUGUCUCUAAGCCUGUUUAAAGUGGUAUUAUUUUGUUCUCUACCCCCUCAAUGCAACCCUUUCUAAAAAUUGGAGAUUUUAAGAUAUAUAUAUCACAUGGUAAGGAAUUUGGCUUUGUUUCCAAAACUGAUUAUAACUGCAUAGCUCCAAAGGCCAUGUACUUUAUUAUUCUUUGAGCUGUGAAGGUGAACCUAGUAUAUGCAAAUCUUAUGGUGCUUUGAUGCUUGAACUUCAAAUGUCUUCCAAAGUAAUAAAUAGAUAGUGAAAUCAAAGCCUAAUGAAGUUCUUCUAUAAUUGCUGUGAUCUAAAUUUAUUUGGUUAUAUUUUCUCAUUUUUCCAUAUGAACCAGCAGUCCAUAGGAGUCGCAAGCUGUCAGCCUUUAGCAAUAAAAAUGACAAAUGCUACCUAAAAAUCUGCCAAGCAAAAAAUGUUUACCUUUUUCCUCUAUGAGAUUGGCAGUCCUGCAGUAAUUCAAGGACUGCUGUGGGAUUGGAUUUGGACCUUGGGGCUCUAAAUUGGUGCUUGUUGAAGAACAUAAGUACAGUUGGGGCUGAUGGCUAUUCCAGAAUAUCCCUCUUUCAUGGCAAUGGCUUGCAACCUCUUGAGGCCAAGCUAGUCAACUUUGAGCCUCAAUAACUGAUAAGUAAAAUUACACUGCAAGAGGGCAAAGAUGGUUGAGACUUGUGCAUUAGAAUCUACUGUGCAAGUGGGAUCUAUUGUUUGUACAUUUAACUAUAGCUGUUGUUGUCUCCAUAAACGUGCAGAGCUGGUUUUGUAUUUUAAGCAUGUCCUUGAUGCCUUGUCAAAUAAAGGUGGUAUAUUUGUGAUGGAUUUAUAUGGUGGGACAUCAUCAGACAAGCUAAGACUUCAGAGAAGAUUUGCCAAUUUUACGGUAGAAUCUUUCUGCUCCAAAUAGUAAUGACAUUAAUAGUAUCAAAAGGAAGAUCGUAGAUAUAAAUCUAUUUGACCAGGUUCAGGUUCAAAGGAGAUCUAAUAAUCUAGUCUCCAGAGCAGUGAGUCCAACUGUGUGCCACGAGAAACAUUUGGAAUGACAUGAAACAUAAUGAGGCCAAAAAUAAAAAAUAAAAAAUAAAAAGAAAUGAAAUGAAAUUAUUUUGAUCAGAGGUCCUUUAUAUUCUAGUUUUACAUCUGUAUGCAAUUUCCGCUGUUAAUUCUUCUACUUAGGAUUUUUUCUACUGCUUCUAUUCCUAGAAUUCUCUUUUAAUCUUUCCUUUCUUGUCCCCCUGUUUGUUACGAAUCUUUUAUCAAAUUGGUGAGAUAUCCAAAAUACAGCUUAUAUGACA